rnacentral:tRNA from 1 species
GGAGAAAUACUCAAGUGGUCGAAGAGGCGCCCCUGCUAAGGGUGUAGGUCGGGAAACUGGCGCGAGGGUUCAAAUCCCUCUUUCUCCGCCA